GUGAAGCCCAGCUUGCUGGGUGGAUCAGUGGCGAACGGGUGAGUAACACGUGAGCAACCUGCCCCUGACUCUGGGAUAAGCGCUGGAAACGGCGUCUAAUACUGGAUAUGAGACGUGAUCGCAUGUUCGUGUUUGGAAAGAUUUUUCGGUCUGGGAUGGGCUCGCGGCCUAUCAGCUUGUUGGUGAGGUAAUGGCUCACCAAGGCGUCGACGGGUAGCCGGCCUGAGAGGGUGACCGGCCACACUGGGACUGAGACACGGCCCAGACUCCUACGGGAGGCAGCAGUGGGGAAUAUUGCACAAUGGGCGCAAGCCUGAUGCAGCAACGCCGCGUGAGGGAUGACGGCCUUCGGGUUGUAAACCUCUUUUAGCAGGGAAGAAGCGAAAGUGACGGUACCUGCAGAAAAAGCGCCGGCUAACUACGUGCCAGCAGCCGCGGUAAUACGUAGGGCGCAAGCGUUAUCCGGAAUUAUUGGGCGUAAAGAGCUCGUAGGCGGUUUGUCGCGUCUGCUGUGAAAUCCCGAGGCUCAACCUCGGGCCUGCAGUGGGUACGGGCAGACUAGAGUGCGGUAGGGGAGAUUGGAAUUCCUGGUGUAGCGGUGGAAUGCGCAGAUAUCAGGAGGAACACCGAUGGCGAAGGCAGAUCUCUGGGCCGUAACUGACGCUGAGGAGCGAAAGGGUGGGGAGCAAACAGGCUUAGAUACCCUGGUAGUCCACCCCGUAAACGUUGGGAACUAGUUGUGGGGUCCAUUCCACGGAUUCCGUGACGCAGCUAACGCAUUAAGUUCCCCGCCUGGGGAGUACGGCCGCAAGGCUAAAACUCAAAGGAAUUGACGGGGACCCGCACAAGCGGCGGAGCAUGCGGAUUAAUUCGAUGCAACGCGAAGAACCUUACCAAGGCUUGACAUAUACGAGAACGGGCCAGAAAUGGUCAACUCUUUGGACACUCGUAAACAGGUGGUGCAUGGUUGUCGUCAGCUCGUGUCGUGAGAUGUUGGGUUAAGUCCCGCAACGAGCGCAACCCUCGUUCUAUGUUGCCAGCACGUAAUGGUGGGAACUCAUGGGAUACUGCCGGGGUCAACUCGGAGGAAGGUGGGGAUGACGUCAAAUCAUCAUGCCCCUUAUGUCUUGGGCUUCACGCAUGCUACAAUGGCCGGUACAAAGGGCUGCAAUACCGUAAGGUGGAGCGAAUCCCAAAAAGCCGGUCCCAGUUCGGAUUGAGGUCUGCAACUCGACCUCAUGAAGUCGGAGUCGCUAGUAAUCGCAGAUCAGCAACGCUGCGGUGAAUACGUUCCCGGGUCUUGUACACACCGCCCGUCAAGUCAUGAAAGUCGGUAACACCUGAAGCCGGUGGCCCAACCCUUGUGGA
rnacentral:rRNA from 1 species